rnacentral:rRNA from 1 species
UACGUAGGGGCCUAGCGUUGUCCGGAAUUAUUGGGCGUAAAGAGCUCGUAGGCGGUUCGGCAAGUCGGAUGUGAAAUCUCCACGCUUAACGUGGAGGGGCCAUUCGAAACUGCUGUGACUCGAGUCCGGUAGGGGAGUGUGGAAUUCCCGGUGUAGCGGUGAAAUGCGCAGAUAUCGGGAGGAACACCAGUAGCGAAGGCGACACACUGGCCCAUUACUGACGCUGAGGCUCGAAAGCGUGGGGAGCAAACAGG